UACGUAGGGGGCGAGCGUUGUCCGGAAUCAUUGGGCGUAAAGCGCGUGUAGGCGGUUCAGUAAGUCUGCUGUGAAAGUCCAAGGCUCAACCUUGGGAUGCCGGUGGAUACUGCUGAACUAGAGUCUGGAAGGGGCGAGUGGAACUCCUGGUGUAGCGGUGGAAUGCGCAGAUAUCAGGAAGAACACCUAUGGCGAAGGCAGCUCGCUGGGACAGUACUGACGCUGAGACGCGAAAGCGUGGGGAGCAAACAGG
rnacentral:rRNA from 1 species